UGGGGAAUAUUGCGCAAUGGGCGAAAGCCUGACGCAGCGACGCCGCGUGAGGGAUGAAGGUUUUCGGAUCGUAAACCUCUGUCGGAAGGGAAGAAAGGGCAUGGCUCCAAUCAACCAUGUCUUGACGGUACCUUCAAAGGAAGCGCCGGCUAACUCCGUGCCAGCAGCCGCGGUAAUACGGAGGGCGCGAGCGUUAAUCGGAAUUACUGGGCGUAAAGCGCGCGUAGGCUGUUGUGUAAGUCAGGGGUGAAAUCCCACGGCUUAACCGUGGAACUGCCUUUGAUACUGCAUGACUUGAAUCCGGGAGAGGGCGGCGGAAUUCCAGGUGUAGGAGUGAAAUCCGUAGAUAUCUGGAGGAACACCAGUGGCGAAGGCGGCCGCCUGGACCGGCAUUGACGCUGAGGCGCGAAAGCGUGGGGAGCAAACAGG
rnacentral:rRNA from 1 species